rnacentral:misc_RNA from 1 species
UCUCCGUAGGUGAACCUGCGGAGGGAUCAUUACUGAGUGAGGGCCCCCGGCCCGACCUCCAACCCUUUGUGUAUCUCGACCCUGUUGCCUCGGGGGCGACCCGGCCUUCGGGCGUCGGGGCCCCCGGUGGACCAUUAACACUGCAUCUGUGCGUCUGAGUGAUUAAAUCAAUCAAUUAAAACUUUCAACAACGGAUCUCUUGGUUCUGGCAUCGAUGAAGAACGCAGC